AAUACAGAACAGAUUCCAGAAUGAAAACGCCCUCCACAUCUUACGGAAAAAAGGAGAAUUCCUUAAGAGAGGGUGAAUUGAAUGUGCAAGUAAAAUGUGGUAAAUUCAGAGCCCUGCCUGUAGCACACAUUUAAAAUAAAAGCAAACGAUGGAGGAAGAGGACAUGAAAACCAAGUCUCCAAGCAGCAGGAAGAGAAUAUAGGGACAGCCUAUUAUUUUAGGCACCCAGUGGGUGUACCUCAAACUGCAGUGUGGGAAACACAGGGAAAGACAGGGGAGUUCUCUCCUGCCUUUGGUGAACUGUUCCGCUGAAUGGUGAUGGUGGUGAAGAAGUAAGGUGCUCUGGACUAGGCAGGUCACGCUGCCCAGGGAGAGAAACAGGAGACAUGGGACCUGUGAGGAGGCGAAGCUGAGAAGACCUGGCCACGGACUGGUCAGGAGAAGUGAGGGAGAGGAAGAAACACCCAGGAAGCUCAGUGUUCAGGCUGGUGAACUCUUGAGUAUGUCUUAGUCAAGUUACUGACUUUCAUAUUUUUACACAGUUUACACACAGAUAAUCAUCCUUGGGUACCAUGUUUCUUUAUCACAACACACUGCUGGACAAUCGCUAAGACUGUAUUCAGGACAUCUGCUUAUCUAUAGACAAAUGAACAUGGCCUGCAUUUACGUUGAAGGUUGGAAAUCAAUGGAUCAUUUAUAGGCAAAUCUCCACACAUCCUUACAGUGAAUCCUGACUAUGCAGAAAUACUUAUUCAGAGAUGCACAGAACAAGUGAAAUUGAGAACAAUACACAGCAUGGCUUUCUGAACUUGGGACUAGAAGCUGCACAUUUCCUCUUGUGUUGCAUUCAAAUAAAAAUAUCAUGGGCUUUCUAA